rnacentral:rRNA from 1 species
GACGAACGCUGGCGGCGUGCUUAACACAUGCAAGUCGAACGGAAAGGCCCUGCUUUUGUGGGGUGCUCGAGUGGCGAACGGGUGAGUAACACGUGAGUAACCUGCCCUUGACUUUGGGAUAACUUCAGGAAACUGGGGCUAAUACCGGAUAGGAGCUCCUGCUGCAUGGUGGGGGUUGGAAAGUUUCGGCGGGUGGGGAUGGACUCGCGGCUUAUCAGCUUGUUGGUGGGUAGUGGCUUACCAAGGCUUUGACGGGUAGCCGGCCUGAGAGGGUGACCGGCCACAUUGGGACUGAGAUACGGCCCAGACUCCUACGGGAGGCAGCAGUGGGGAAUAUUGCACAAUGGGCGGAAGCCUGAUGCAGCAACGCCGCGUGCGGGAUGACGGCCUUCGGGUUGUAAACCGCUUUCGCCUGUGACGAAGCGUGAGUGACGGUAAUGGGUAAAGAAGCACCGGCUAACUACGUG